UACGGAGGGGGCUAGCGUUGUUCGGAAUUACUGGGCGUAAAGCGCACGUAGGCGGCUUUGUAAGUUAGAGGUGAAAGCCCAGGGCUUAACCCUGGAAUUGCCUUUAAGACUGCAUCGCUAGAAUCGUGGAGAGGUGAGUGGAAUUCCGAGUGUAGAGGUGAAAUUCGUAGAUAUUCGGAAGAACACCAGUGGCGAAGGCGACUCACUGGACACGUAUUGACGCUGAGGUGCGAAAGCGUGGGGAGCAAACGGG
rnacentral:rRNA from 1 species